UACGUAGGGGGCAAGCGUUGUCCGGAUUACUGGGCGUAAAGCGCCUGUAGGCGGCCUGUCAAGUCCGGCCUGAAAGCCCCCCGCUCAACGGGGGAGGGUGGCUGGAAACUGGCAGGCUUGAGGGCGAGAGAGGAGGGUGGAAUUCCUGGUGUAGCGGUGAAAUGCGUAGAGAUCAGGAGGAACACCCGUGGCGAAGGCGGCCCUCUGGCUCGACCCUGACGCUGGAGAGGCGAAAGCCGUGGGGAGCGAACGGG
rnacentral:rRNA from 1 species